rnacentral:tRNA from 1 species
AGCCAGCUGUGGAAGGCGCCGAUGUGGUGCUCGCUGGGCACCAGGACGCCGCCCUUGGCGUAGGCCCGGGAGCUCAUCCCGGGCUGGGUGC